rnacentral:rRNA from 1 species
GAUGAACGCUGGCGGCGUGCCUAAUACAUGCAAGUCGAGCGAACGGACGAGAAGCUUGCUUCUCUGAUGUUAGCGGCGGACGGGUGAGUAACACGUGGAUAACCUACCUAUAAGACUGGGAUAACUUCGGGAAACCGGAGCUAAUACCGGAUAAUAUUUUGAACCGCAUGGUUCAAAAGUGAAAGACGGUCUUGCUGUCGCUUAUAGAUGGAUCCGCGCUGCAUUAGCUAGUUGGUAAGGUAACGGCUUACCAAGGCAACGAUGCAUAGCCGACCUGAGAGGGUGAUCGGCCACACUGGAACUGAGACACGGUCCAGACUCCUACGGGAGGCAGCAGUAGGGAAUCUUCCGCAAUGGGCGAAAGCCUGACGGAGCAACGCCGCGUGAGUGAUGAAGGUCUUCGGAUCGUAAAACUCUGUUAUUAGGGAAGAACAUAUGUGUAAGUAACUGUGCACAUCUUGACGGUACCUAAUCAGAAAGCCACGGCUAACUACGU